rnacentral:rRNA from 1 species
UACGUAGGGGGCUAGCGUUGUCCGGAAUCAUUGGGCGUAAAGAGCGUGUAGGCGGCCCGGUAAGUCCGCUGUGAAAGUCGGGGGCUCAACCCUCGAAUGCCGGUGGAUACUGUCGGGCUAGAGUGCGGAAGAGGCGAGUGGAAUUCCUGGUGUAGCGGUGAAAUGCGCAGAUAUCAGGAGGAACACCAAUUGCGAAGGCAGCUCGCUGGGACGUUACUGACGCUGAGACGCGAAAGCGUGGGGAGCAAACAGG